rnacentral:lncRNA from 12 species
GACUUUUCAUAAUAUAUAAAACGGUUCUCUGAACACUCCGCUGUGAUUUGCGGUAAAGUAAUACCACACGAAGAAAAACUUGGUUUGUGUGUAUAAAAUACCACUGUUCUUUUUGUUUCCUAUUUUUCCUAUGUGAGGACAGACGGGAAGAAUGGGGGGACUCGGCUGGGGUGAGGUAACAGAGGACAGAGGGACAUCUGGGAGACACAAAGGACUUGAACUGGCCUCAGGGUCUGCCAUCAAAUGCUGCAUGGUGACUCAGCAAUUGCCACUUGAAUGAGCUCAGUGGAGCUUAUCUUUCCUGUUGUCCCCUGGGUCAGACUUGUGAUGUGACUACUUUACAAGAAAUUUUUUAGAAAGACUCUUUUCACUAUGUCCUACCAAUUACAGUGUUGGAAAGUUAGCAACAGAAGGCAUAACGGAAGAAGGAAAGUGGAACGGUGGUUGCCAAAGCCUCGGGGAGGGAGAGUGGGGAGUUAGAGCUUAAUGGGUAAAGUUUCAAUUUUGCAAAAUGAAAAGCAUUCUGGAGAUGCAUGGUAGCGAUGGUUGUACAGUGAUGUGAAUGUGCUUAAUGCCCCUGAGCUGCACGCUUAAAAAUGGUUAAGAUGAUAAAUUUUGUGUUAUGUAGAUUUUGCCACAAUUAAAAAAUAAAUAUAAGAAGAGGAACUUUAUUUGAAAGAAAUGUAACUUACACAUGGUGAGUAGGAAAUGAAUGAGCAAUAAAAUUUCGAACAGCUGUGGCCGGAGGAGGAUGCUCUGUAUGUGUUUUAGGAACAGUAUUGUGGUCUCUGCCUCACCAGAUCAGGGAACUGCCUCUCAAGCUGGACCUGGAGUCUGCAGCCCGAGAGAAGCCCUGCUGCCCACCAGGACAAGGAGCAGGGUGCUGUGUGUGUGGGACGAUGGGUGCAGAGAAGAGCCGCCUCUUGCUAAUUGAUGCUUCAGGGCAAAGAGCCAGUGGCUUGCUUUCUCAGAGAAGAAAUCAUCAAACAGUGGACAGGAAGUCCUGCUGCAAGGGAUCCCUUACAUCACCUAGCAGCAGCAAUCAAGGAGUCACCUGCCACAACCCAGAAGUAGCCACACCACUGCUCUUUCCUCAACAAGGCCGUGCCACCCAGCACAGUGGGAAGCCCGAAACACUCAGUACCAAUAAGGACCCAAAUUUGAGUAAGCUAAUUCCUUUCAGGUGGUUUCUCCUGUAAUUCAAUCAGGACUUGAGUUUAGUUUCAAACACUUGAGCUUAGGGAUUUAGAAAUCCAGUUCUGAGAACAGAUGAGGUGUUCCAAGGUAUGUUCGCUUUUCAUACAAUCUUCUGGAGAAUGUGUGUGAGCGGCCCUUCAGACCUAAGCUUUCUCUUUUCUUCCAUCCUGAGGGUGCCAGCCCACUUAAGCGUUGGUAUGGUAUUAUAUUUCUCUACUUGCAGAAGCUAAGCGCUCAUGUGUCUUCCUUCACUGUGGAUGAGUGGAAGGGCUAUUUUCAACCCCAGUAGCUGUUUUUAAUUUCAUUUCUCACAUGUCACUGACCCAGAGUACACCCGCCCUUCCUGAUACCCUUAAUUCUCUGUGCUUCGAGAAUGACCCAGAACAAGCAAUGACUUAUCACCUGGCUGUCCUAGUUUCCGAUGCUAUCAUAAUAAUGCCCAACGUCAAUCCUUGCAGACGUUCAAAUGGCUGGUUAUUAGUGUUUAACAUAUGGGGAAUUCAAGCACACUGGGGUGAAGUCAACUCUCUCAAAUGGCAGAGUCAGGACUCACACACAUGAACACAGUUCGAGCCCAGAGCCCCGACUCUCGGCCUUUGUUGUCUGUGGCCCCAAGCUAGGGCCAAAUAUCAAAGAAGCCUCUAGCAUUGGAGGAUGACCUUUACUCCACCAAGACAUACUCCCUGCCUCUGCACCUGUGGCUCUCCCAGACCUCCUUUCCUGGGCACUCACCUGCAUCUCUCCUGGCCAUCUGUGUGGUGAGCAAGCUGACAUCAUUGGGAAUGCGUUGGCCAGGACCUGUCACCAGGAGCUCAGCUUUAGCUGAUCCUGGAGUCCCUUGGGAGAGACCCUUCUCCCUUCUCUCUCUCUCUCUCUCUCUCUCUCUCUCUCUCUCUCUCAGCUGUUUCCUCAUCUCUACCUGAGAAGUUAAAGUACAAACACCUGCUUCCUCCUAGCAUAGGCUGAAAUGCCCCUUCUGAGAGGCGAAAAGAAACCAAAUGGAGUUUCUUUCCUUCUAGAUUUCCUUGGGUUUUAAUUUGAAGAAAAAGAGAGAACUGCAGGGGACCAAGCCAUCUUUCCAGGGAUUCAUCAGCAGCCCUUGCCUCCUGCGGCUGUUCUGAUUAAUGGCUGCGCCUCCCGCCGAGUCCCUGUAAUAGGUGUCAGAGAGGUGUUUACUCAAAGUUUUACACCCAAUUGUCGUGAAGGUCAAAACAAUAGGGCGUCUCCCAUGCAGGUUAAACAUCUUUUUAUGAGUACAUAGUCUAUUAGAGAAGACUCUGUUUUCAGGCUGGCUAAACUCAGUGGGUUUUUUCUUCCAGGCUGACUCAGCAGGUCCCUGGUGGGGGAGCUGGGCUUGGGCUUGACCCUGAACUGGGCCUUGGGCCUUGGGAAGUUAACCAGUGGGCUACCGACAGUCUCUCCAGCUUUGGCGCAUGGGUCCAGUCUGCUUUAAAAUUCUGAGCCAUUUUAUAAACCCAAGCCAGUCAUAUCAAAAUUCCCUUCCCAGGGAAGAGCAGAAACAGGGAUGGUGUAAUUCCUUCAAAUUAAAACGUCUCCUUUUGCCACAUUAAACAAUGACCUUGGACCCCCAGAGUCGUUUUCCCCCUCCCUUAUUAUCCUCCACCAAUUUUCUCUCCUAGCCUCUCCACCUCCUGCACAAAUAAGCCCAGAGAGCAAAAUGCCACAAGUUAGAAAUACUGUCUCCCAUCUGUUGCCCACAGGUGUGUGUCAAGGGGGUGGAUUUUGACCCUAUUUCUGAGGAAGAGGAAGCCAAAGGUCAAAGUGAAUUUCCUAAAUGUCAGAUGCUUUCAAAGUGCUGCCUUAUGUUUGUUCACACCAUGCAUGCAGCCGUCUUCGGCUCUGGUUCUUCCUGUUACAUAUGGGAUGCUUUCUGCUGGGUGCAGCAAGCAAGACCAGACCACAGCCAAGAUCAGAAGAGCCCAUUGGAGUGUAGUAAGAGUCCUCCAGAGAGCAAGGACUCCUAUGGCUUCCACUGGGUUGAUGUUAAUCUUUUCAAAACCUUUCUGGUAUAAAAGCAUGUUUCUCUUCCAGUGAGGACCCAUGCCACCCUCCACUUAUACGAAUGGCCACUCUUGCUUCUCUAAGUAGGGAGAUGACUACAGAGCUUUUUAUUUAUUUUUUUAAAGAUUUAUUUUUAUUUAUUUAUGAUAGACAUAUAUAUAUUGAGAGAGAGAGAGAGGCAGAGACACAGGAGAAGGGAGAAGCAGAUUCCAUGCCGGAAGCCCGAUGUGGGACUUGAUACCGGGACUCCAGGAUCACGUCCUGGGCCAAAGGCAGGCACCAAACCGCUAAGCCACCCAGGGAUCCCUACUACAGAGUUUUUUAAAACCAUUACCAUUCUGGAUUUGACUUGAGCUAAAAACAAGGCACAUGUUCAGGAGGAAAUGAAUUCUGUAAGUACUUAUUGAGAUUUUAUCAUCUGUUGAAAUCUUUGGGAUUAAGAAAGAUGGAGAAAAAAAAAAAAAGAAAGAUGGAUCAUAGGCAAUGAAAAAGAAGGAGAAGAUAGGACCGGAAAUGGAGCUGCGGGGGGCACCGAGGACAGUCAUUGACUGGUAGAGAUGAAAGGGAAGGGAAGGACCCAAGUGGGGUGAUAAGCCCUUCACCUGUGUAUAAUCCUGCGACCAUACCUAGCUUUUACUGCCUUCUUCAUACAUGGAUGUGGACACUGGCAUCUAGAGAGGUGGAAGGCUUGCUAUUCGCCAUGCUGGCCAGAAUUUACCAUCUUGCAUGGAGCAAGACCUGUUUUGCUGGAUGACCACUAGACUCAGCUUGUGAAAUGACAUUGCCAGGCAUAGGACAGGAUCAGGCAAGAAGUUAAGAAUUAUAAACAAAAGAAUGUGAUAUCCAGUUCCCUGAGAUAAAUCUUUCCAGUGGCACCAUGAGCUGGAAGAAGGUAUCAGGCUAGGUCUGGUGAGUGAGUAGGAAGGUGGAUGACAGGCCAUGAUGUAUGUCCUGUGGAGUAAGAAUUGGUGGAACUCUGUCAAAAGACUGGAUAUACAAAUAGACAAUGGCCAGACCAUAUACAGAAAUAGAACUCUGACUCAUCAUCUCUGACAACCAGCCCAGGGAAACAACCAUGAUCUCUAGUAACAUUUCAUUUAUUUAAUUGUUUUUAAAAAUAUUUUAUUUAUUUGGCAGAGACAGAGAGAGAGGAAGCAGGGGGAGCAGCAGAGGGAGAGGGAGUAGCAGACUCCCCAUUGAGCAGGGAGCCCGAUAUGGAGCUCUAUCCCAGGACCCCAGGAUCAUGACACAAGUCGAAGGCAGAUGCUUAACUGACUGAACCACACAGGCGCCCCUCUAGUAACAUUUCAAAGAGCAGAAUGAUAACCCCAAUGAUCAUCAAUCUAAAAUGGCCAAGACCUGAUUGAUAAUUGACAACUUUUCUCAUUUUAGCCCCCAUUUCACUUGGGACCAAAAAGAGAAAGCCAAAUGUAAACCCCUAACCAAUCACAUAGGGCACCCCACGACUAGCUAGCCUGCUUCAAGAGGCCCAUACCAACAGCCCCCCAUCGGGACAUAUAAAAAACACCUGAGCCUUCUCUUUUUUCCACCAUAAAUCUCUCCCCCUCCUCUGCCUGUUCUUUAUGCUAAAACUGGAAUAUAAUGCCUGUCUUUUCUAUCUGAUAAUGAAGUUGUGAGGUUCAGAUGACUUCAUGGAUAUAAAAGUAUCUUGUAUAUUACAAACUGCAGUAUACAUAAAAGAUACACUCAAAAUAAUAGCUAUAACUAUAAUUCUUAAUUUUGAAUGAUUGUAAAAGAGGCAUCAGAUUUUAAGAGAUUUUUUUCAGGUGUUUGCAGCUCAUUUGUCCUAUCUGCAAACAGAUACAGGAGUCUCAAAUGUAGUAAUAUACUAUGUGGAUUAUUUGUUUCACAAAUAGAAUAUGGAAACUUCCAGAAGACCCAAGGACCAGCCUGGCCCCCAUACAUAUGAUAGUGUGAUCUUAGGCUCCUGAUCUCUCAGAGCUUUAAGCAGACGGGAUCAUUUGUGUCCAGCCUACUUGCUUGUGAGUUUCUCCAUGAGCUCUGUUGACUGUAAAUGCCUGCAUAAAUGCAAAGUAUUAUGUUGCUGCAUUUGAAAAGUGCUAUUUACGUGCCACUUACUAUUAUUGUGGUUAUUAUUAUAGUUGAAGAGUAGAAUGCAUUUCAGCAACCAAUGAUAGAGGUAGCGAAUCUUUUACUGCCACAUGAACUCCCUGGGUGUCUCACUCCCAUAGGUAGACUUCUUUUCAUUUGGGGCUGUCUAUUGAUAUAAUUAACCUUUGCCAUAUGAUGGGCUUUGCUUUUAAUUCUGGAUGCAUAGCAGAAAUAUUUCAUUGUAUUUACCCCUAUAAAUAGGACCUACUUGAUUUUUAAAUUAAAUAGCAUUAGGGAACAUGCUCUCAGGCUGACUAUACUAACCAUUUUCCACAAAUAUAUUACGUAUGACUUAAUAUUUUUCUAUGUGCCUAGCUUUAGCUAUGGACUAGUGAAUAUAAAGCUUUGAAAAAUAACUGUUAAUAUUUAAGAUAUAGAAGAGAAAUAAAG